rnacentral:rRNA from 1 species
UGUCCCAGCCGCCGCGGUAAUACGUAGGGUGCAAGCGUUAAUCGGAAUUACUGGGCGUAAAGCGUGCGCAGGCGGUUUUAUAAGACAGAGGUGAAAUCCCCGGGCUCAACUUGGGAACUGCACUUGUGACUGCAAGACUAGAGUGUGUCAGAGGGAGGUAGAAUUCCACGUGUAGCAGUGAAAUGCGUAGAGAUGUGGAGGAAUACCGGUGGCGAAGGCGGCCUCCUGGGAUAACACUGACGCUCAUGUACGAAAGCGUGGGGAGCAAACAGGAUUAGAUACCCUGGUAGUCCACGCCUUAAACGAUGUCUACUAGUUGUCGGGAGAGGAAUCUCUUGGUAACGCAGCUAACGCGUGAAGUAUACCGCCUGGGGAGUACGGUCGCAAGAUUAAAACUCAUAGGAAUUGAC